AACGAACGCUGGCGGCAGGCUUAACACAUGCAAGUCGAACGAGAUCUUCGGAUCUAGUGGCAGACGGGUGAGGAACACGUGGGAACAUCCCUUUCAGUUCGGAAUAACGUUGGGAAACUAACGCUAAUACCGGAUACGUCCUUCGGGAGAAAGAUUUAUCGCUGAAAGAUUGGCCCGCGUCUGAUUAGCUAGUUGGUGAGGUAAUGGCUCACCAAGGCUACGAUCAGUAGCUGAUCCGAGAGGAUGAUCAGCCACAUUGGGACUGAGACACGGCCCAAACUCCUACGGGAGGCAGCAGUGGGGAAUAUUGGACAAUGGGCGCAAGCCUGAUCCAGCCAUGCCGCGUGAGUGAUGACGGCCUUCGGGUUGUAAAGCUCUUUUGCCCGGGAAGAUAAUGACUGUACCGGAAGAAUAAGCCCCGGCAAACUUCGUGCCAGCCGCCGCAGUAA
rnacentral:rRNA from 1 species